CUAAGCUGUCAGGACCCUGUCAGCUCCAGGCUUGGGGCAGCCGUGUCUGCCCCAACAGGGUUGGAAAACUGGAAUCCGAGUGACCAAGAGCUCCAGCCGCCGGCCUUGAGCACUGGAGGGAAGGGGCACAGAGAGGAGGUUAUGCUUGCUCUGCGUGCAGGAAAGGGGAAAAUGGAAAAGCCAUCUUAGACCAUCCUCUGCAAUGCCCUCUGUGUUUUGUCCACCUCUGGCCGCAGAGCCAGCUAACAGGCCCCGUCCAAACAACUGGCUGCGAUAUUGGGGACUUCUUCUAACGCCUGGGAUCUAGAGAGGCAGAAGCAUUUCAACAGUUACACUGCACACUGGCAGGAGGAUUGCAGGCUCAAUGCGUAGAGCUAGUGAUUUUGCCAACUUCCUGGAUGUUCACUGCUGGUUCUGCACCGAAGAGCGACAUUUCCUCUCGGAUCGGGACCGGACACGGCCGGCACAGACCCUGGGAAACUGUGAGUACUCCGAGCUCCUUCUCCCGCGUCUCCCUGACCCGGCGCGUCCCUCCCGGCCUGUCCCGCCCGGCCUGUCCCGCCUGCCUGCGGUCUCUGUAUCCAGCAGUCAGCUUUCCCCGGGCGGGCGCCUCGCCUGCACUCGCUGUCAGCCCUCAGGACCGUUCUCCACGUUUAGGAAAAGAGACUCUACAGUUUCUACACAAACAACGUGUAGGAAGGGGAGGGGGAGUGUGCUUACCGAUCGCAGUGACUUCGGUUUUCGCUUUAAGGCUCGGAAAGACGGAGAAAGUAAACAGAA